rnacentral:rRNA from 1 species
GGAAUAUUGGACAAUGGGCGAAAGCCUGAUGGAGCAACGCCGCGUGCAGGAUGAAUGCCUUCGGGUUGUAAACUGCUUUUAAUAGUGACGAUUAUGACGGUCACUAUUGAAUAAGGACCUGCUAACUACGUGCCAGCAGCCGCGGUCAUACGUAGGGUUCAAGCGUUAUCCGGAAUUAAUGGGCGUAAAGAGUUGCGUAGGUGGCAUGUAAAGCGAAUAGUGAAAGCGUGUGGCUCAACCAUACAUCCAUUAUUUGAACUCACAAGCUAGAAGAUGAGAGAGGUAGAUGGAAUUCCUGAUGUAGGGGUAAUAUCCGUAGAUAUCAGGAGGAACACCGAUGGCGUAGGCAGUCUACUGGCUCAUUCUUGACACUAAGGCACGAAAGCGUGGGGAGCAAAC